UACAGAGGUCCCGAGCGUUGUUCGGAUUCAUUGGGCGUAAAGGGCGCGUAGGCGGUCAGCACAAGUCAGUUGUGAAAUCUCCGGGCUUAACUCGGAACGGUCAAGUGAUACUGUCGGACUAGAGUACAGAAGGGGCAACUGGAAUUCUCGGUGUAGCGGUGAAAUGCGUAGAUAUCGAGAGGAACACCUGCGGCGAAGGCGGGUUGCUGGGCUGAUACUGACGCUGAGGCGCGAAAGCCAGGGGAGCGAACGGG
rnacentral:rRNA from 1 species